rnacentral:lncRNA from 10 species
UUCAUCAAAGACAAAGAUCCACAGAAAUAAAUAUUAUACAUCAAAUACAAGUGAUGGUAAGAGCCACAGAAGAGAGAGACAGUCUCUGGGUGAUUGUCAUUGGAGAGAUGGAGUCAGAGAUGUGGGAGGAGGCGUGCACUGAUUGUGCUGGUGCCUAAGAGAAGAAUUCUUCCAAUUCCUGGGGUAGGGGGCGGGGGCUGAUAGGGUUUGGCUGUGUCCCCACCCAAAUCUCAUCUUGAAUGAUAGCUCCCAUAAUUCCCACGUUUAGGGAGGGACCUGGUGGGAGACACAUAUUCAAACCAUAUCAGGUGGGGAUUAGGAAACGCCAUUCUCACCACUACGAAGCAUCUUCCUCCCUUAAGGAGGGGAUAGAGACGAGGGCCCAGGAGUGUCAGCAUAAUCUAAUUCACUCCAGAGCAGUAGAGCGGGAAAACAUGAGCAUAGGGGAUAAGAGCCCUUCUAUGGUUUGAAAGUAUCCCCUAGGCCGGGCACGGCAGUUCAUGCCUGGAAUCCAAGCACUGUGGGAGGCUGAGGCAGGCGGAUCACCUGAACUCAGGAGUUCGAGACCAGCCUGGCCAACAUGGUGAAACCCCAUCUCUAUUAAAAAUACAAAAAUUAGCUGGGUUUGGUGGUGCAUGUCUGUAGUUCCAGCUAUUCAGGAGGCUGAGGCAGGAGAAUCACUUGAAAACAGAAGGCAGAGUUUGCAGUGAUCCGAGGUUGUGCCAUUGCACUCCAGCCUGGAUGUCACAGCAAGACUCCGUCUCAAAAAAAAAAAGUAUCCCCCAAAGAGCAUGUGA